UGGCAACUGGUCGUUGAAGUCAUUGGGUAUGUGAGAUAUCUGCCCCGAGAGCUAGAGGAGAGGAGAACUAGGAUAAGAUCCCGGGAAACAAUAGCCAAGGAGGAGGGGAAUCUGGCAAAGAUGGGACACCAGGGUCCAAGGCAAGAAAAGCGUGACAUGAGAUCCAGAGGUCAGAGAGGACUUGCAUGAGUGAAUGGAGAAGCAGAGUCCAGGAAGGGCCAGACCCUGUGGACCAAAAGUGUUUGAGGACGCAGAGGAGGGCUUGGAAAAGCAGCCAGUCAGUGGGAGAGGGAGAACCAGGCAACUUGGGGGCCAGCAGGAGGAAUUUGCUGGCUGGAGGACUCCGGAGCAGGCAGAGGGGUGGUGACUGAUAACUGAAGCCAUGGGAAUAUGUGAGAUAUCUGUCCCACAGAGUUAGUGCCGAGCAAGAAGGGAGGAGAACCUAAGACAGGUUGGGGAGGAGGGGGACCAGGUAUGAGCAAUGCCGAGCUCCUAUCUGGGGCGCCUAGGAGUGUCAGGAAGUCUCAAUUCAAAGGGAGGGAGGCAGAGAGGGGACCUCUAUAUUUCCCAUUUCUUAUCACCAUUCCCUGGAGCUUGUGUAAGCAGGUUUCCAGGGACAGGUUUCAGCUCCAAUGAUACUUUAUUCCUGACCCCACACUAGGUCAGCCCCCAUCUUCUCUUAGGACAUUUGGAUUACUAAACUGAGAUGGCCCCGGCUCCAAAUGGGAGCUUGCAUGUGGGCCAUGUGCUGGAUCAAGAUUCCAGAGACCUCCAUUGGGCCAGUCACUGGGUCUCUAACUGCUGGUGGAGGGGCUGGGGGGGUCCUGGAGGAGAGGGUGAUUGGCCGAGAUGCUCUUGGCGACAGAUGGUAGUUAUUAAUUGUGCAAUAACUUUUGUCUGUCUCUGGGAUUGGUCUGUAAUCCCCAUAAAAGCAGGGACCAUGUCCAGUUUGGUCACUGUCUCUCCCUGGUGUGUGACAGUGUGGGGGGCAUAGUAGGUGUUUGGUAAGUAUUGGCUGAGAGUCGUGUGAAGGGUGGAGGGGCUGAGGGCAUCUUCUUUGUGGAGAGGGCAGUGUCUGGUCCUCCCGGGAAAACAGCAGAGUCACAGUGGGGACUGUCUUGGUCCAGGCAAGGCCUGGAGCACCUUCGUGCCACUCAGCCUUCUCUCUGCAGGGCCUUGCUCCUCCCUUUGUGUCUGGAGGGACAGAAACAUACCCGGGGCCACACAGUGAGGCCUUGGUUUUCUCAUUAGUAAAAUAGGAUGAUAACAACGUUAUUCGCUCCAUAGGUUUCUGUGGGGAUGAAAUGAGGUGUUUAAUUAAUUAAGUAAUUUAUUUGGUACUGGGGAUGAAACCCAGGGGCACUAUACCACUGAGCACAUCCCCAGCCCUUUUAAUUUUUUUGAGACAGGCUCUUGCUAAAUUGCUUAGGGCCUCACUAAAUUGCUGAAGCUGGCCUUGGAUUUGGGAUCAUCCUGCCUCAGCCUCCUGAAUUGCUGGGAUUACAGGUAUGGUGACACCACGGCCAGCUGAAAUGAGGUGUUUAGAGUGAGUGCCGAAUGUUAAACUCAUUCUCCCCAGUUGAGCCAUCUACUCCUUGGUUUUACCUCCUAUAAGUCUUAUUCUCAUCUGUAAUAAGAGAAUAAGAUUGGCCUCAUCCAGGUAUGGUGGUGCAGGCCUGUAAUUCCACUAACUAUGGAAGCCGAGGCAAGAGGAUCACAAUAAACCAUUCCCCGAUUUUUAUCUCUAAUGCAGACCUUUUUUCUGAGGUUCGGGCACGCACUCCACUGCUCAGUCUCUUCACACUCCUGCGUGCUCAGCCCUAGCGAGGGCCUCCCCAGGCUCUCUGUGCCAAGGCCCAGACCUCGGGCAUCCCCAUCACUACUUCCCUGUCCCACGUUCCAGCCCAAGAACACUCCGAGCCUCCUUCCCUUACUCCCUGACCCCUGCUCAUCUCAGGCCCUUCCUGUCCUCCCCCACUCCCCUGGGACCCAUCAGCACUCAUUCCUCACCUCCACAGCUGCUGCCACAGCUGGUCAGUGACGGAAUGCACAGCUGCUAGAAGCCACAUGUGUGGAAUAGGCAGUACACAGCUACCCCUGGGGCUGGUGGGGUCAGGGGUGGGACCAUCUGUGUCUGUUUGUCAGUCUGCAACACAUACACAUGAACACACACACACACACGCAUGCAUACUCCUGAUCCCUUUCUCUCUGUGAUGUGCUGGGUGGUAUUGGCUUGGUUCCUCUUCCCUAGCCCUGGGCUGCAGAGGUUAUGAGGGUCAUGCUUUCCCUAUGGGGGUCCCUGAGAGGGACUGGAAGGCUGGCCCAGAUGCUUGAUACUUACACCCUCCCUGCUGCUGGACAGGCAUAACAAGUCCUACAGAGGCUGCCCAGGGCUAAAGUGACCUACUAGGCAUUCAGAGCCCCCAACUUUCCCAGGCCCUGGGGGAUGGCCUACCACGGAGGAAGCCAGAGGCUCUGGACACAUUCCAGAGCCCCCUUGGCAGCACCCAGGGGUUCCAGAGGAGCCUCAGCCCUGGGGCAGCGCCAGCAGCAUCUGUCCUGGUUCCCACACUCUGGACCGUCUGGAAUCUCACAGAUUUCUCUUCCAUGUGUGCAUGAUGUCAGCAGGACAAGGACACUGGGGGAGAAAAGGAGGGGCUGAGCUACCCAAAGUCAGACGGCUUCUGGGGGUGGGGGCAGGCACUCCACACACAAAGAGAGAGUGGCUCAGCCUCUGGCUCCAGACCUUCCUGGGCCCUGACACUGCCCAGCCCAUUGCCCUCAGAGCUGGUCCUCCAUUUCCUCAUCUGUAGCAAGAGAGUGAGAGUGGCCUGGCCCAGGCAUGGUGGUGCCCCCCUGUAAUCCCAGCAACUCUGGAGGCUGAAGCAGGAGGAUUGCACGUUCAAGGCCAGCUGGAGCAAUUUAGCAAGACCCUGUCUUAAAAUAAAAAAGGACUGGACAUGUAGCUCAGUGAUAGAGUGUCCCUGGUAUUUGGUAUUCAAUACCAAAUACCAAAAAAAAAAAAGUGCCUCUAACUCCCAGAGAAAGUUGGAGGACCCCGAACCUUUUAUACCUGGGUAGAACUUACUCUCCAACCAUUCUCCUGACCUCCACUCAGUCUUGCCACUUCUCAAAAUUUCUCGAAUAUAUAUCACAAGUUCAUCACAGGUUCAUUCUACCAAGUCCCCUGCUGUUGUCAGGGAAACCACGCUUCUACUUUACCGCUUGGAGACUAUUAAGACCUUCAGUAAGAGGUGACCCUGGAAGGAGGUCCAGGAAGGCUGUGUCAGUUGAGCUCUUCUAGGAGAUGGAGGCCUGCUGAGAGCCACGGCCGAGUCUGUAUGGCCCCGAGGCCAGUCAGAGGUGUGAGAGAUGUGCUUGGCAGAAUAAAAGGAAGGGAGCAGGAGGAAGCAGAAGGAGCCCAUGACACCCAUGUAGUUCUGACUCCUGUGGAGGAGAAGGGGGAUGAAGGGGGCUCGGACAGGAAGAGUCUCUGGCUGCCAUGGAGCUCUGAGGACGUCUUGAUCCAGCUGUCUUCUAGAGAAGCCCCAGGUAGGGCUCAAGUAGCCUGGAGUCAGUGUCCCCACUGUGCCCGGUCACAGCUAGGAGCAACCCAGUGACACUUCUUGCAGCAGUGACACUUCUUGCAGCAGGUUCUCCUGAAGGGAGAUACCAGCGUUGUGCUCUCUGGGUGGAGGGUGUGUGCUUUGCAAGUUCACCCAGCAAGCAAGCAACCAGUUCACACCCCUGGGCUAUGGCUGCACCAUGCUCACACUGUGGUGAGCGUUAGAUCCCUUCGGGCUUCCAGGACUUCUAAGAGCGACUUUGCCAGAGGAAUGAAAGACUGAGGAUUCGGAUUGCUGCAUUCUAAAUGUUGGUGCCCCUUCCCCCAUGCCAGUGGUGAAGACUAAUUACCAGUAUGAUGAUAUUAGGAUGUGGGAUCUUUGGGAGCAGAUAUAUCAGUGAUAGAUCAGUGUCCUUAUAAAAGAGACUCUGGACAGUUCCCUUGCCUCUUCCACCACUUGAGGACUCAGCAAAAAGAUGGCCAUGUUUGAGUCAAAAAGAAGGCCCUCACCAGACACUGAAUCUGUUAGAGCCUUGACCUUGGAUCUUCCAGCUUUCAGAACUGUGAGAGGUGAACUUCUGUUGUUUAUAAGACACGCAGCUUAUGGUGUUUUGUUAUAGCAGCCCAAAUGGACCAACACACAGAUGAGGUCAUGUGAGAAUAUGGCACUUCAGACAGAAUAGCACUGAACUGGGAUCAAUAGCCUGGGGUUAAAUUUCUUUUCUGCAUCUAACAUUGUGUGUCCUCAGACAAGGGGCUUUCUUUCUCUAAGACUUGUUUUCUUCUUCUGUAAAAUGUGGACAAGAAAAUUUCACUCAGGUCUCCCACCCAGGCAAAAAAUAAUAGGGCAACAGCAACCAGUCUUUUCAUCCAUAAAGAUGGCUCUACUUCUUAGAGAGGUGCCCACCAAAGACCGUUCCUAAAACUUUUGCCCAGCGUAACUCCAGUGGCAGAAAAUAAUUCGUUCUAUUCCUGAGGUUUGAGGAGAUAUAACUCAAACUAACUUAAUUAGAGUUCCAAAUUUCUUCUGUGGGGUUUAUCUUAAAAAUGUAAAAGAGAGUCAGGAGAGUAUAGCACUUAAGAGACACUCUGGAGUCAGAUGACUUGAAUUGUCUGUCACUUAUUAGCCUUGAAUGAGUGACUUUACCUCUGUGAGCCUCAGAUUCCUCAUCUGUAAGUGGAAAUCAGUUCAGAGGGCUGGGUUUGUUCAUUCAGGGCUAGUAGCAGAGGGUAUCUGGUCACCAGCCACCCUUUGCUCUGCCCUUUCCCUCACCUAGGACAUGGUCCACUGGCUGCAUACCAGCUCUGGUAGUGCUGACCUAUGGGCAUUGUAAAGAUGCCCAGUGAGAUAGAGACAUCAGAACACAGUUUCCUUGAGGUCUCCAAGCUGGUGAUUCUGGGGCUCCUGGAGGGGGGCUUCUCCUGGAUGGGAGGUGGGCGGAAGGAAGUGGGUGAGGAAUAUCAUUUUUCCCCAGCUCUGGUGAUUGGGUGGGUGGAGGUGAGAAAUUGGAGGGACUUCCUGUUGGGAGUAUUGUGGAGGUGCAUUUGAGACUAGUUAAGCCAGGAGUCAGAGGAGGCUAAAAUAACCCUGGAGGACCCUGGUUAUACCAGGUUGAUGGAAGUAAGACAUCUGGUAGCCAGCCUCCAAGAUGGCCCUGAUGGUCUCUACUUCCUGGUAUUUUCACCUUUGUAUGGUCCCUUCCCACACUGUAACAGGGUUGAUCUGUGUGACCAAUAGAAUGUGGUUGAAGUGGUAAUGUGUCACUUCUGAGGCUAGGUCAUGAAUGACCAAGUGGCUUUUUUCUUGUUCCCUCUUGGAUUUCUCACUUCAGGGGAAGCUAACAGAAAUGUCAUGAGAACACGCAGGCAACCCUGUGGGAAGGGACUAAAGCCACCUGCCACAGCCAUAUGAGUGUGCCAUCUUGGAAGCGGAUCCCUCAGCCCCCAUCAAGCCUUCAGAUGGCUGGCUGCAGCUUGACUACAGCAUCAUGAGACACUCUGAGCAAGAAUCACUCAGUCUUCAGGAUCUGGCUCCACAGAGACUCUGAAAUGCAGGAAGAUGCUGAGAUACAGGGAAAAAGAUCAUGUGACAAUAAGUUUGGAAUUGGGGUUACCCCUUUCUCCUCCAUCUUAAUCCUUUCUCUUCUUCUCUUCUCCCUCCUACGCCAUGUCCACCUUUUGUAGUUCCAGAUGGGAACACUGAGUCCAUGUCAGGAGCCCUACUGGGGAAAGCUUGCUUUCUGAGAGGCUCAGGACUGCCAUCCAUUGCAGAUUCUCCCCUCAGGGCGGUCUUCAUGAGAGGGGAGAACCUACAGAGAGACCCCCAUACCAAGGGAUGAAACUGGUCCCAGUCCUGCUCACUACCUAUACC
rnacentral:lncRNA from 1 species